AUAGCAAUAGCCUUCAAUUCCUACUUUAUUGACUCUGUCAGGGUACUGACACAGAACCCCUCCACUGGUUUCUUGGGCAAAGUGCUAGUGAAUGACGCUCAACCUGUCUUCAUCAUAAGGGAGGUUUCUGAGUCAAAGGUGGACAAGGUGAUUAGCUCACAAAAGAACUCUAAAGCCAAAGAUGUGUUUGGGAUGGACUCUACCUUUCUUAAAAACUACAAAGAGUCACUCAUUGGCCCCAUUACUAAGGUCACCAACACAUCUAUUGGUCUCGGGGUGUUUCCAAGGGUAUGGAAGUCGGCCAUAAUAACGACCAUGUUUAAAUCAGGCGACCCUGCUGACGUGAGUAACUACAGGCCCAUUAGUAUACUACCUGUGGUGUCAAAGGUUGUUGAAAAGUGUGUAGCAGACAAACUGAUUGCCCACCUCAACAACAGCCGCUUCACAUUACAUUCCAUGCAGUUUGGCUUCAGAGCGAAACACUCCACAGAAACGGCCAACUGCUUUCUUCUGGAAAAUGUGAAGUCCAAGAUCUACAAAGGGGGUGUUGUUGGGGCUGUGUUUCUGGACCUAAGGAAGGCUUUUGAUACAGUUAACCAUGAGAUUCUCAUCACAAAAUUGUCCAAGUUCAACUUUUCACCCGAUGCCUUGAGAUGGAUGAAAUCAUACCUUGAAGGCAGAACUCAGUGUGUCAGAGUGAGCAAUGAGCUGCCGCCCACUCUUAGCUAUGAUGUGGGCAUGCCCCAAGGGUCAAUACUGGGGUCCCUCCUGUUCAGCCUGUACAUUAAUGAUCUGCCUUCUGUCUGUACUGGGUCUGAAGUUCAAAUGUAUGCAGAUUAUACAGUGAUAUAUGUGCAUGCAAAGAGCAAACAACAAGCUGCACAAGAACUCACUACUGUAAUGGUCCAGGUUACAAAGUGGCUCAGUGACUCCUGUUUGCAUCUCAAUGUGAAAAAAACUGUUUGAAUGUUCUUCACAAAGAGGGCAACAGAUGCUACUGAGCCAGAUGUGUAUGUGUCAGGGGAGAAGCUCCAGGUGGUAUCUGAUUUUAAGUACCUUGGCAUCAUACUUGAUUCCAACCUCUCUUUUAAAAAGCAUGUGAAAAAGGUAAUUCAAAUAACCAAUUUCAACCUAGCUAAUUUCUGAUUUAUACGAAUUUGUUUGACUACAGAGGUAGCAAAACUGUACUUCAAAUCUAUGAUACUCCCCCACUUAACAUACUGCUUGACUAGUUGGGCCCAAGCUUGCUGUACAACAGUAAGACCUAUUCAGUCUGUCUACAAACAGGCUCUCAAAGUGCUUGAUAGGAAGCCCAAUAGCCAUCAUCACUGUCACAUCCUCAGAAAGCAUGAGCUCCUGAGUUGGGAAAAUCUUGUGCAAUACACCGAUGCAUGUCUUGUAUUCAAGAUCCUAAAUGGCUUGGCUCCCCCUCCACUCAGUAUUUUUGUUAAACAGAAAACCCAAACAUAUGGCAGCAGAUCCACAAGGUCUGCCAUGAGAGGUGACUGUGUAGUUCCCCUAAGGAAAAGCACCUUUAGUAAAUCCGCUUUUUCUGUGAGAGCUUCCCAUGUCUGGAAUACACUGCCAUCAGACACGCAUAACUGCACCACAUAUCACACUUUCACAAAAUGCUUGAAGACAUGGCUAAAGGUCAAUCAGAUUUGUGAACAUGGUCCCUAGCUGUGUGUUGCCGCUUUCCAUGUCUGUUGUCUGUAACUUGUGAGGUGUGGAAACACUUUGUUGCUUUUAUGAAUUUUGUCUUGCUGCUUUUUGUUCUAUGUUGCUCUGUCUGUAUGCUACGCCUUGCUUGUCCUAUGUAGCUAUGUCUGUAUGCUACGUCUUGUUCUAUGUUGCUAUUGUCUAUAUUGUAAUUGUUUUUAAUAACCUGCCCAGGGACUGCGGUUGAAAAUUAGCCGGCUGGCUAAAACCGGCACUUUUACUGAAACGUUGAUUAAUGUGCACUGUCCCUGUAAAAAUAAACUCAAACUCAUAACUCAUAGUCUGGUCUAGCAUACAGCUUGCGCUAACAGGGUCUGGGCUGGGUUUCUGUAAAGCACUUUAUGACAACAGUGACAUCAGCAUCCAUAAUGAUAUGUGUCUGUGUCCCCUCUUUAUGGUUACCAGGACAAUGCUAGCCCGUCCUCCCUCCCGGAGCCCCUGUGUCGUGCCUCUCCCGGUAGCACCUUACUGCUGGGUAUGAAGAGGUUGUCUGUGCUGCUGGUGGACUGCAGGAAAACAACGGGGCUGAGUGGAACUGUGAGAGGAGGAGAAGAGAAGAAAGGAUCAGAUUUGACACAUCAAAGAGAAAAACAAAAUUCGGAGGAACCAGAGACAUCCAAACCAGCAAGCCGGCACCUUGGACAGCGUUUUAACAAGUUAGGAAGCCUGAAAAGACAUGGGAGGACACACACUGGAGAUAAGACACACCAUUGCGCCCAGUGUGGACAUAGUUUUAACCAGUUAAGAAGCCUGAAAGCUCAUGAGUGAAUACACACAGGGGAGAAGCCUUACAAAUGCUCAGACUGUGGGAAGACAUAUUACUCUUCAUGGUCACUUAAAGUUCAUGUAAGAACCCACACAGGGGAGAAGCCUUACCACUGCUCCCUCUGUGCAAAGAGUUUUAUCCAUUCAGGACAUCUGAAAAAACACAUGAUACUGCACACAGGGGUGAAGCCUUACCAAUGCUCAGACUGUGGGAAGACAUAUUGCUCAUCAGAGUCACUUAAAAUUCAUGUGAGAACCCACACAGGGGAGAAGCCUUACCACUGCUCCCAGUGUGCAACGAGUUUUAUCCAGUUAGGACACCUGAAAGCCCAUGAGCGAAUACACACAGGGGAGAAGCCUUACAAAUGCUCAGACUGUGGGAAGACAAAUUACUUUUCAUCGUUACUUAAAGUUCAUGUAAGAACCCACACAGGGGAGAAGCCUUACCACUGCUCCCAGUGUGCAAAGAGUUUUAUCCAGUUAGGAAACCUGAAGGUUCAUGAGCGAAUACACUCAGGGGAGAAGCUUUACCACUCAGGGGAGAAGCUUUUUCACAGUCACUUAAACGUCAUGUGAGAAUCCACACAGGGGAGAAGCCUUACCACUGCUCCCAGUGUGCAAAGAGUUUUGUCCAGUUAGGACACCCGAAAGCCCAUGAGCGAAUACACACAGGGGAGAAGCCUGCUUCCACUGUGCAAAGAAUUUUACCAAAUUAUGAAGCCUGAAAAAACACAUGAGACUGCGCACAGGGGUGAAGCCUAACCAAUGCUCAGACUGUGGGAAGACAUAUUACUCAUCACGGUCACUUAAUCAUCAUGUGAGAAUCCACACAGCAGAGAAUAAAUACUUCUAGUGUGUAUAUUGAUAUUUCACUUCGCAUUGACUUAAAAUUAAUCAGAGAACAUACACAGUGUUCCCAUUGACUUAUAAUGUUGACUGAUAAUGUGUUUACUUGUUUAUACCGUAUGAAAUGUAAUUAUACAAAGAAUACUUACACAUAUAUUAUACGUUUUUAUUAGAAAACAUGAAUUGAAUAUGGAGUAUGUCAGUUUGAAUAUAAAGUAGAUCAGAUUCCAUGUGUUUAAAUGGUCCUUUUUAAACUCUGUGUGUGUUUAUCUGGGUGUGUCAUUCCUCCAGCACUACAGAUAAUACAGUGAUAUUUGGAUGUGAUGCAGUUGCUCCAUUGUUUACAUUUGCAUUGUUGGCCCACUGAUGAUUUAAUGAAAUUAAAAUGUUCACAGACUCUGUGAUGGAAAAUGUUAAUCGUAUGUGACUAUCCUUGUGAAACUGUCCUAUUAUAAUCUCCUGUUCUUGGGAGUAUCAUCCUGUGUUGCAAACCAGCUGCACCUGCGUCCUUGUAUGAAUAGAGUCCCUCCCAGGAACAGGAAACUAUAAAGAUAUGUGCUCAUCACCCAAUGCUUCAGGAAUUCAGACUGUCUACACUGCGCUGUGUAACUCUGUUAUUCUCUCUGAUCUCAGAAAUAAAGAAUCUUGGUUUGA